rnacentral:lncRNA from 1 species
UCUAAACGGUCUCAAGUACAAAAACCAAAACAAUACGGUAAAUCACUAAGCGGAAGAGAAUUGUAAAUGUCCCCUAUGGCGAUCACGCUUCCUUCCUUCCCCUCGCCGGUUUGCCACCUUUGUUACCUUUGCCUAAAAAAUGAAACAUAAAAGGGGUGGGUAUAAAAAUACUCAGUAAGAGACUCACUAUCGGUCCUGUCAGGGGAAAAUAAAUUAUUAACGUCCUAUUGGAAAACCAUGUACAGUCACAGUCUUGGGAUCCCGUAGGAGGAUACACAUUUUAGUCUAACGUCCUUAUUUCAGUCUAGUGUUCUGCAGAAACACUUAUCAGUCUAAUGCUCCCGAAUGAUGCAUAAAAAUUGGUGAUCCCGUAGGACACCUACAAGGCACACAUAUCUCAAUAAAACUAACAAUUUUCCCCUCAGUCCAUUCUAAACCUUAAUUAAUCAAUCAAUUUGCAAAUUCAAAAUAAUUCGACACCUUUACAGUCAAUUUAUGCAAUCCAACACCUACUCAACAUUGUUGUAACAAUUCCUCAACAAAAAAACUUAUACACAAGUAACCCUCUUCUUAAUUCAGUUAAUUUAAUUUAGUUCUUUAACCACAUGACAGUUCAGUCAUCACAACCAACCAAGCAUAUGUACCUGUCAAUCCAUCUCAAUCCACACAGCCAAACAAAUCAAAUAAGAUUUGCAUAUCAGCCAGACAGUCAAAAUAAGAUUUGCAUAUCAGUCCAUUAGACAAUACAUCUCAAUUUCGCCGUUGAGUCCAAUAGUAGGAACCCUUACCUCAAAGUUAGGGAAGCUCCCUAAUCAAUUAAGGUCCACGAAACAAUCCUAAGCACAAUAUUGCAAAAUUCGAUUACUCUCACAAUACAUAUCUCAUUUACUUUCCUCAAAGUAGAUUUUUUGCUUACUAAAUGUGGCUAACCGAAAUCAAAAUUCACAAAUUUGUUUUAGUGGCUAACCGAAAUCAAAAUUCACAAAUUUGUUGUGAAUUCAUGUGACCCAAGGCUACUUCCAACACCUUCCAGAAUCUAUCAUUUGAACCAAUUAACCAUUAAAAUUCAUAAAAAAUUUACAAUACAAAACCAUCAAUCCUACAAUUUUCAUUCUUACCACAACUACCAGAGUAUGGCAGAAACUACAACGAUUAAAGGAAUGAGAUCUGCACGUAUAAACCGGAUUGGGGAACCGGCAACAGCUAUUUCACAGCCGGCGGACGAGGAAGUGGCACGGCACACAACGACAUGCAGUUGUCGGAUUGUGAACGGGGACAGGCGCAAUCAAAACGCAAUCCGGAUUCAACGAACGACCUGCAACUUGCAACAGAUGAUUCACGACGAAGGGAUGGCGUGCAGCAGAGAGAUGGCGUACGGUGAUUCGCAGCUCGGCUGUGCAACCCGAACGGAAGAACGAUGCAGCGGCGACAGAACGAAAAGAAAAGAUCAGACACUGGCGGAAUCUUGGAUUUUGGAUGGCACGGCGUCGCAGAUCUGAACGACGACUGCAAGGUGACGCGUACGGCUUGCUUCGCGAAUGGAGACAGAGAUGGCGGCCGACGGUUGCAGACGUAGCAGAUGAAGACGCGCUGCGGCUGGGUAGGGUAAAAAAGAAAGAGAAACGGAAGAAGAGGAGAUUGGGGUUGAGGUGGCCGGCGGCUGCAAACUGAAGGAAGAAAGAAGAGAAAAAAAACGGAAAAGAAAAGAGAAAAGAAGAAGAAAAAGAUUUUUCUUUUUCUUUUUCUUUUUUUAUAAUAAAUAUAAUAUUAAUAUAUAAUAAUAACAAUAAAUAUAUAUUAUUAUUAUAACAUUUCUAAUCCUUUUCUCUCCUAAUUUUUUUCUUUUUUUUAAAAAAAUAAAUCUUCAAAUAAAAAUAUAAUUUAAUUUAAAAGUAAGAUACUUGAAAGAAGAAGAAGAAAAAAAAAAGAAAGAAGAAGAAGAAGAAAAACAAAAAGAAAGAAGAAAGAAGAACAAGAACAAGAAGAAAAGGAAGAAGAAAGAAGAAGAAGAACAAAACAAAAAGAACGAAGGAGCUUAAUUGCUGAAGGCGAAGCAUAACGAAGAAGUCUGAUCGCUUCUCCUAGGGCGGUAGAUUUGGUGGCAAAAACCUGAUCGUUCCUAGGAGAAGCUCGACGAUGAAGAAGCUUGAUCGCUCCUGCUAGGGCGAUAGAUCUGAUGGCAAGAGCCAUAUCAUUCCUAGAAGAAGCUCAACGACGAAGAAGUCCAACGAUGAAGAAGCCCGAUCGAUCCUACUAGGGCGGUAGAUCUAAUGACAAAAGUCUGAUCGUCCCUAAAAGAAACUCGAUGACGAAGAAUUCCAACGACGAAGAAGUUCGAUCACUCCUACUAGGACAGUAGAUCUGACGGCAAAAGCCCGAUCGUCCCUAGUAAAAGCUCGACGACAAAGAAGUCUGAUGAUGAAGAAUCCUGAUCGCUCCUACUAGGGCUGUAGAUCUGACGGAAAAAGCCCGAUCGUCCCUACAAGAAGCUUGACGACGAAGAAGUCUAAUUGGUUCUACUAGGGUGGUAGAUCUGACGGAAAAAGCUCGAUCGUCCAUAGAAGAAGCUCGAUCGCUCCUACUAGGACGAUGGAUCUAACAAAAAAAGUCUGAUCGGUCCUAGAAGAAGCUCGACGACGAAGAAGCCCGAUCACUCCUACUAGGGCGGUAGAUCUGACGGCAAAAGUCUGAUCGUCCUUAGAAGAAGCUCGACGACGAAGAAGCCUGAUCGCUCCUACUAGGGCGAUAGAUCUGACGGCAAAAGUCUGAUCGUUCCUAGAAGAAGCUCAACGACGAAGAUGUAACACCUCGAACUCUAAGGUAAUUAAUUUUAAUCAGAUUGCUCUAAUUUAGGACUUUUAAUUUUAGUUGGGUGUUACUUUGUUGUUUUGGCUUAGAAAAGAAAUCUAUUUAAUGGGAAAGAAAAGAAGUGAAAGUGGAAAAGUUAAUAAUAUAAUAAUAUCAAUAUCAUGACAUAAGUAUUCUUUUUUCUUUCGUUUCGUAGCAUAAUUUUUUUUCUUAAAAAAAUUGUUCUUUCUUUUUCCGUUUCGUAAUAUAUAUUUCGGUCAUGUUCCUCCUAUUUUGUUUAAUUUUUUAUUGUUCAGUUCAUCUUCUUGUCAUGUUUGACAUAUAAUUUUUAUUAAAUGUAUCGUCGUUCGUAUAUACUAUGAUAUACCAUUGAAUAAUAAAUUUAUGUUAUGUGAUUUGUAACAUAUAUAUUACUACAUAUAUUCAAUAAUACAUACACAUAUUCUUUUUCAUAUUUUGUGAUUUUUCUUAGUGCGUAUAUAUACCAAUAUAUACACAGAGUAUAUAUUCAUUCCUUAUCUUUUUUAUAUUUCUUACCUAUAUGUUACUGCAUAAUUCAUUUAUGUUUUGUGAUUUGUUACAUAUAUACCACUACAUAUAUUCAAUAAUACAUACACAUUUUUUUUAUGUUAUGUGUUUUUUUCUUACUGCAUUUAAUAUGGAUUAUAUUUCUUACAUAUGUGUUACUGAAUAAUUUUUUUUCCCCUAUAAUUCUCUAGAUCUUCAAUUCUUUCAUCAAAGUCCCUACAAUACAAUCAUAUUCAGUUUUUCUCAACAUUACAUAUACUAGAAAACAACUAAUGUUUUAAUGACAUAUAUUACAUAUACUUAUAAUAAUUAUUUCUCAUUCAUGUUCCCGUAAACAUAAACAACUUUAAUACAUAAUCAAUAUUAUUUCAAACAUAACAUUUUACUUACUAUGUAAGAUAUGAAUAUUUAAAUAAAAUAAAUAAACAAUUUGAUAUAAGAACCUUUCACUAAUAAAAUAUACACCGAAUUUAUAUAUGUUAUUUAGUAUAUAUACCUCAUAUUAUAUACAAUAAUAUCUUAUACAUAAUUCCUACAGAAUUUGUGUUUAAAUUUUUUGUUUGUAUAACAGAUAUUAUUAAAACAGUAGUAAACGACAUGAUCAUACAUACAUAUUUUUCCUUUAUAAUGUAUUUGAUUACAUUAUACUUUAAUAUAUCCGCAAUCUAUAAUAGUUAUGUUCUAUGUUUUUGUGUAUAUAUACCUCAUAUUAUAUACAAUAAUACUAUAUACUGACAUAUAGUUUUAUUAUUUUUUGAUAGGAUGAUCAAAAUGUAGUUCUUCUUCAACGUUGAAUUCUCAAUAAACUCUAGAAUGUAUCACAUUCAAAACUAGAUUUUCGUUUGUUUGCCUAUUUAAUCGAAUAUUUAAAAUAUACCUAAUAUACCAAAUGUUUCAUAUGUUUGAAUAUAUAUAAUAUUAAGCACAAAAUUUCUAGCUAGAUUCUGUUGAAUAAGUUUUGUAUUUGUCGGCCAUCGAACGUUUUCUUCUUCACCGUCAAAAUCUCAAUAAACCCUCAAAUGUAUCACAUUCAAAACUACAUUUUCAUUUGAUUUCCUAUUUAAUUGAAUAUCUAAAAUAUAUAUAAUAUACCUAAUGUUUCAUAUGUGUUGAAUAUAUACAAUACUAACCUCGAAAUUUUAAACUAAAUUAUGUUCAAGAAGUUUUGUAUUUGUCGACCGUCAAAUGUCUUCUUCUUCACCUCCGAACUCUCUAAAAUUUUGAAGUAAAAACCGUAAUCCACAUUGGAAGGAGUAGACAAUCGUUUUCGUAGAAGGAAAGCAGGAAAGGUUUUUCACUUCCUUCCAAAACCAUAUCCCAUGAUUUUUUUCUAUUUAGAUAUUUGUUAUAAAUCCUACUUAUUUCCAAAACUGUAUCUGACGAUUUUUUCCGUUUAGAUAGGAAAGGUUUUUCAGCUUAUGAUAGGAAUAAUUUUAAUGGUUUGAUCACAUACAUAGAAUUCAUACAAUCAUCAAGUAGAAACUUAGCUUUGAAACUUCCUUUUCAAUUAAACAAACUGUCUAAUAACAUCAACAAAGUUACAUGUGCUAAACAUUUCAUAACAACAUAAAGACUUAGAAAUAAUACUUUAGAACAUUGUUAUUUCUUUAGAAAAUCACUCAUAAAAUAUUUAGUUUCCUUCCCUCCCUCUGAUCAACUAACUCCAAGUCCCUUCUCUCACCUAAUGUAAUGACAAAAAAAAGACCAUUUUAAAUUUGGAUUAUCUUGGUUUAAUUUAAUAGUGUUAGGGGUGAAUUGAGAUUUUUGUUGAGGAUUAUUUGAUAACUUAAUUUGGUAGAUUGUAUGGAUUGAGAAUCAUUUUAUGUAUGGAUAAUUAAUUGGAUUUUAUAAUGGAAAUAGUUAUAUGAAGAUAAUAUAAUUAUAUAUGGGUAUUUGUUAGUUGUAUAUUAAAUUAUGGAAGCGAAUAAUAAUUAUAUUAAGAAUAAUAUAAUUAUUAAGAUUUUAUGUUUAGUUUUUGGAAAAAAGAUAAAAUGAGGUAAUUUGAUGGUUUAGAAUUAAGGAAGGGAGAGAAGAUAUUGGGUUUAUUUUUUAAAAGGUAAAAAAAAAAAAGAGAAGGAAAUAAAUAAAAGAAAAGAUAUAUUAAUAAUAUUAUUAUUCUAUAUUAAUUAGAGGCCCUCGUUCACGUCAAAACCAUAGUCUCUGCCCUCACCAUCUCCGGUCGUCUCUAUCUCUUUUUGCUAGCAGCCACUCAGUAUAAUGAUACAUCAAAAUUUAAUUUUAAUAUUUGAACUUGUUCAAAUAUUUUAUCUCUCAUAAAUUAAUUUUGAAUCAUAUUCAAAAUUAAAAAUUAAAAAUUAAAUUUAUAAUAAAGUUUCACAAAAUUUAUAUUAUAAUGUAUCAUUAUACAUUAAACUAAUUCACUAAGUAAAUUUAAACAUUUCAAGUUACAAUCACUAUAAAUAAAUGUCAUUACCCUUUACGAGCUAGGAAAGGGACCUAAUGGACCUACAGAUCAGAAGCUACAACAAUCUGAGAUUAAUUGGCUAAACUCAUUAACCAGAUUAAUCAAUAUUCGUUAACUGUGUGUACACUCCACUAAAGACUCACAACUGAACUCUUCUCACUAUAGAUAUAUUUCUAUGUCCACGGAUAUAGACCAAUAAUAGUAAGUUAGUCCUUCACGAGUGUUCGUAACACCAGUUGGGUCCAUUUAUCGUUUUACCCCUCGAUUAUCUCUAAUCCUUAAAUAUCAGUGCUUCUCUAAUGAACAACCUGUUUAUGGUCCUACUAAUAAACAGAAAUCCCUCUCGUGCCAUAGAGAGGGUAUGACCCUUUAUUCAAGACCUGAAGACACCAUUUAAUGGAACACUCAUCUACUUACCCUAAAGUAAGGAAUGAGUGAAUUUCAUCUUAUGUAAAUAUGUUCCCAGCUCCCCACUCGGUCUUGUCCCAAAAAUGAUAAGUUUAUUGAGUUGGCGAUCUGACCACUCUCACCCGUACAAAUCAAAGGACAAUCCCUCGCAAAUAGGAGUUCAUAACACACUCAGGAUUAAAACUAAGUUACCUAAGUCAUCUUAGUGAAAUAGAAACCUAACUAGUUAACGGAGUUACAUCUAGUGGUACUACUACAAAAACAGGCUCUCUUGACGUUUGCAGUUUUUCUUUCUUGACGUUUUUUUCGAAAAACGUCAAGAAAUAUUUCAUUUUUAAUAAAAAACGUCAAGAAUUUUUCUGAAACAUCAUUCUUGACGUUUAUUAAACGUCAAGUAAAAUAAAUUUUUCCUUGACGUUUUUAAAACAUCAAGAAAUAUCUAUUAAUUUUUUGACGUUCUUAAAACGUCAAGAAGCGUGUGAAUUCGACAUGCUUGACGUUUCUUAAACAUCAAGAAUUUAAAAUUUUACUCGAUGUUUUAAAAACGUCAAGAAAUUUAUAAAAAAAUCCUUAACGUUUUGAAAAAUGUCAAGAAAUUUAUAAAAAAAUCCUUGACGUUUCUAAAAAUGUCAAGAAAUUUAUAAAAUAUUCAUUUAAGUACAUUUUCUCUUCUGUAAAACGUCAAGAAUUUAAUCGUUGUAAAACGACGUCGUUUCAUUUAAGUACAUUUUCUCUUCUGUAAAACCUAAUUUGUCGCGCGUUCGAAGGGAAGCUUCUCCCCUUUUGCAUCGUCGUCGUUUCGUUCGUCGUUCUCCCCUUUCACCGUUCUCAAGCUUUCACCAUUCUCAAGCUUCCACCGUUCAUCGUUCUCCCUUCGUUCAUUCACCGUUCAGUUCAUCGUUCACCGUUCACAAU